rnacentral:lncRNA from 1 species
CAUGAAAUACUAAAUAUAGACGAAAACAAAAACUAAUUACACAGUUUAGCUAUAAAUCACGAGAUGAAUCUUUUGAUCCUAUUUAGUCCAUGAUUAGAUAAUAUUUGUCACAAACAAACGAAAAUGCUACAGUGCAGAAAACUUUUCACUUUUUCGGAACUAAACAAGGCCUGGCCCUGUUUAGAUCGAGGACGAAAAUUUUUUUGGUGUCACAUCGAAUAUGUCCAAAGG